CGGGCAGGCGGGCCCACCAGUUGGGUGUAAAAUCUCCCGGCUCAACCGGGAGGGGCCAUUCGAAACUGUGGGUCUGGAGGGCGAUAGAGGAGCGUGGAAUUCCGGGUGGAGUGGUGAAAUGCGUAGAGAUCCGGAGGAACACCAGAGGCGAAAGCGGCGCUCUGGGUCGCGCCUGACGCUGAACCGCGAAAGCCAGGGGAGCGAACGGGAUUAGAAACCCCGGUGUCCUGGCCGUAAACGAUGCCAACUGGGCGUGGGUGUGGAAGCACAUCCGGGCCGCAGCGAACGCGCUAAGUGGCCGCCUGGGGAGUACGACCGCAAGGUUAAA
rnacentral:rRNA from 1 species